UUACGGACAUAUCAUGUUGAAACAGCGAUUCCCGUACGACCAUCGAAAUUAAGCAACGUCGAGCCUGGUAAGUACCUAGAUAGGUGACCGUCUGGGAAUAGUAGUUGAUGUAA